rnacentral:misc_RNA from 1 species
ACAAAAAUGUGACUUAACUCUGUCUAUCUUUGAGGCACUGAUAUAUAGAAUUGAUAAAUACCCAUACAGCACAGAAAUCAAUUAGGACAUAUAUCCUGUGGACGUCCCUGCGACGUCCCCUGGAGCUUCUGUGCUGUAUGGGUUUCGUCCUUGAAACGUAAGAAUAAUGUCCCAAACAUAUCCUAUAGAAAUCCUUAGGAUAUUUCAUAGGAUUUCCCUCGAUAUUCCAGAGGAUCAUAUACGGCUAUCAUUUCCUCUUCCUCGGGACAUCCAGAGGAGAUCCGAGGAUUAAAAUGGGAUAUCCUCAGGAUAUCACACAUGUACGUCCUGGAUGUUCUUUGGAUGUCCUUAGGACAUCCUUGUGCUGUCUGGGUAUCGGCCUCUCAAAUAUCUGCAUUUAAAGCUUUGUGUCCACGAUGCUAGAAAUCGAUCCGAGAUCUCGAUCCAAGAAAUAUGUGACCAAUCAACUUGCAGCUUUUUCAUAAAAGCUACAAAUUGAUUUCUAGCAUCGUGGGCACUAAGAUUUAAGUACGUGCGACCAAUAUUUUAAAUAUAUGUGAGUAUUUCGUGUUCAAAUUUCGCGGGUGCAUUUGGACCGAAAUUUCAAUUGGUUGCGCUCAUCAUGCCGCCGCCGCUAUGCGCAAUACAUCUUUCUUUUUACAUCGUGUUCUCUAUUCACGUGCGAUACGGCACGGAAGAAUCGUGCGUUUUAGGUUAUUAGAGGAUUCGCAUAGAUAAUGUUAAACUGCAUCAUUGAAGAUUGUGCAUAAUAACGUGGUGCACAUUACUUGAGCUUUUUCUUUCUUGAUUAAUUUACAUGAAAUGCCGCAUGAUCCUGCGGAUAAAACGCAUAGAAAACCGCGUCAGACCAGAGGCACCCCGCUCGGAAGAUAUGUAAAUCUCAUAUCACUUGGCGUGACACUUUUCUACGGUGGUAUAUUAUACCUUUCCUAUAGAAAAAAUGUAAUUCCGCUCGCAAAUACCGACGAUACGUAUAAGAAAAUGUUAGAAGAGGCUAGAAAAAGGGACUAUCUUGUAGACUAUCCUCCAAUUAUGCACGAGCUUGCCGACAAGCUGUUUUGGGAAGGAUUAUUUAAACCUGAAUCAGAGGAUGCACAAAAAACUGAACAAGAUUAAAUAAUAGUACACAUUGAGUUUUCACAUAGAUGUAUAAUGGAUCUUAAAGAAGGUGGGUUAUGUAAGCCUAGUAGUCCAGAGAGGAGAUUACGGUUAAGGAAAGAUAAAGAAAGUGCAGAUAAUAAGACUCGUCUUUCUACUUCCAAUGACAAGUGUGAAAAGAAUGAUACAACUUGUACAUCACAGUCUCAAUGUGACGAUGAUAGUAUACUGGACUUCAAAUCACCGAAAAGAAUGUAUUCUGUGCAACCAACAAUUAUUAGCAGUAAUAAGUACACGAAUAAGUCGAAAAAAAAGCCGAUACCCCACUCUAAAUCGAAACCCAUUAACAACGACAAAAAAAUCGAGGGCAAACCGUCACAUAGUAGGAAAAUUUUACACGAUGUACAACAGCCACCGAUCGAAUCAUCGUUUUUCAAAUCGGAGAAAAAAGCAGACCCAGCUGAUGUGAAAACAGCUUGCGUGUGUCCGUUAUGUUUUAAGAACUUCAAAGAUGAAAGCUCGCAAGCUGUACAUAUGAAGAGCUGUGCGAUAAAAAAUAACGUGUCGACGAAGAAGCUGAUGGUUGCGGUGGAACUGCAAGAGCGGCAGGCUGCGGAGAGGAAGUCAUUGGGUUUACUUUCCGCCCCUGCGUUACAAGAGAAGAAGAAACCUGCUCCGCGUAAAUUGGCGUCCCACGACGACCCCGAUCUUCAGCUUGCUUUAGCACUUUCCAAAUCCUUACAUGAAAAAGAGGAGAUGGAAGAAUGGGGUGAACAAAUGAUGGUUAUAUCGUCCAAUCCGUUAUUGCCAGAUAAUAAUGCAGAGCAGUGUCGGAAAACGACGUUGCAGAGCUUUGGAUUCAUUAGCGACCGAAAUAUAUCACCGGCAGAUAACUUGUCCAAUAAAACUAAGAGAAAAAGACCUAUUGAACGGACCAUUCUUCAGAGACGUACGGCAGUAGAAAGGGAACGUAUUUUAGCAGAGAGAAUAGCUGAAAUACUUAUGGGCUACAGAGAUUUCACUCAAGGAUUGCAGGAAGAGGAAGAACGGAGUGAUAACGUCGAAAAGAAAAUUAUUAUCAAAAAUCGACUGCUUCAGGAAUUGCGUCAGACUGAGAAUACAUUGUGGGAUAGGACAAGAUUAACUGCGUCUGAAAAUGUAUUUUAUGUAGACCAAUUAUUGCCUCAGACUACGCCGUCCAAGAAAGAACAGAAAUUAAGCCAAAAAGCAAAAGAAGUAGAAACUGUAGAGGCAGCAGUUGAUGAAGAGGAAUUAACGAUUUCUUCGAAUGAGAUGAAAGCAUGUUGCAAGGAGAAAAGAUUUCUUGAUAUAUUUGUAAAAAGUUGGGGAGACAUACUGAAUGAUAGUUCCGCAAGUGAUAUUAUCAUACUCGUGAGAAACGGCAAACACAUUUGGACGCACAAGCUAGUUUUCUACGUACGUUGUGCUAACAUCUUACUUGACGUAAUUUCCAAUGAUACAGAAUUCGCUACUGCGAAAGAAAAAAUUUCUUGGAUCGAUACGGAUUACGACGUCGCUCUGGCUUUUCUAGAGUUCGUUUAUUGUGGCGUGAUAAACAGAAAUUCGAAGGUACUCGAUAUCGAUGCGUCAUUAUCGAGCAUCAGAGGUUUAGCGAGAAAAUAUAAAGUAAACGAUUUGUUUGCUUACUUGCGUCAAAGAGAGCUUACAUCUGAUGUAACAAAAGUCGAAGAUGAUUCUAAAAAUUGUGAAAACGUGGAAAGUAUACAUGAAAAUGUGGAAACCACUUCAGGUGUUUUGAAACUAAAUGAAUCUACUUCCAAUACAUCGUCGAAUCAUACGCGUGAUGGCUUGGACAACAAUCUGCGUCCUCGAGAAGCACUGUUGCAGGAAGAUAAUAUAGAUUCUUUUGAAGAUAAUCACACAUCUAUAGAGGAGUCCUACGUUCUGGAAAGUGAAAAUAUUAUUUUAAUGAAAUCACCGGAUAAAAUAAAAUCUAGAAAUAACACACCCACCAAGUUUGACUUUAGCGCAUCUCCUGACAUGUUUGACGAUGCGCCUGACGUGACAAAGUAUAAUGAUACAAGCACAAUGUGCUCCGAGGAGCAGGAAGAUUCAAAUAUUAACAUAUUAUUAAGCUUGAUUAAACAAGAUGCAGACGCUGAUAUCUCUAGUCAAAGAUCACCAGUUAGGAGGCCUCGGAGCGCAGAACAUUCAGAAUCGAUCGAAGAUACAGCCACUUGUUCGAAAAAUGUGGAACAGGAUGUAAUCGAGAUUGAUUCGGAUUCUGAAUCAAAUUCAGUGAAACCGCCCACCAUUAACAAUUCUUUACAGAAAAAUUCUUCGAGUGACGCUGCUCAAAGCAGUAAAUCGAGUAUACCAAACCAGAAAAGUGAUCUAACAUUGUUCAUCGAGAAAAUUCAAAGGCAAAACGCAAAAUCGGAUUCGGAUUUAGAUACAGAUUCCGAUAUAGAAUGUGACGUACAAAUAUCUCCUAUGAGACAUAAAAAUCCAUUUCACAUAGACAAACGUAUCCCCGAAGAUGCUCAAUCGAGUAAUGCUGAACAGCCAAUCAGCACAAACAAUAAACCUGGUAGAUUAAGUAUAAUGGAACGAUGCAUACAGUCAUAUGCUAACAAAAAUCCAGAAUUUUAUUCUCAUUGUUCUAGUGAACGUGAAAAUGGCAAGCAAACUGAGACUUUACAUCCAAUUUCUGUAUCCCCUAAGACACUGGCAGAACCUUACGAUGAUACGUUAUAUUGCACGAAAAACUUUACUUCACCAGCUGAAAAGGAUAGCAACUUAACAAAGCAAGUCGUAACUGCGCCACCAUCAGCAACAACAACAAGUCAAUCGUCAAAUGAGAGUAUUUCUGAUGUAGAAGUGAAUGAGACAGAGAUUUCUAUGUAUUCUAAAUACAUGAAAGAUCACAAGGAUAAUAGCAUUGCGAAAUAUCGCGCGGUAAUCGAGAAAAAUGCAUCAGACAGUGAUCUGUCUAAUGAAAGUACCUCAUCCACUUUGGUCAAUGAAAGUAAUGAAAUUGAUGAACGUGAGAAUGAUGAAGUGUUGACACAAGAUGUAGAUAUAAUUGUUUCGUCGGAUACAGAGAUUGAGAGCAUAUCUUCCAGCGUCAGUUGUCCUGUACAAGACGAUGAUGCUGAUCACGAGAAUCCAAUGUUUCGUCUCGUGCAACAAUCUAAAAAAUCAAGAGAGAAUAAUGGACAAAAUAUAGAAGAUAAAGAAAAUGGUCAAUCAGUCAGUAUUCCAAAAGCCGUGACGACAACUUUAGAGGAACAAAGAGACAGUAGUGGGAUAAUCGGUUCAAAUCAUGAUAGCGUCAACAGUAGUACAGGUAGCAAAUCUGAUAAUGUAAACCUUAACGCAUAUUUUACGCAAAACACAUCUAGAUUAAAUAAAUCGCGUGAUAACCAGAAAGGAUUUAUCCCAAACUCGACGGCGACAUUUUCCAGUCUGGAUUUUUCGAAUGUAGAAAGUCGAUAUUCAGACGGCAAAGACUGCAAUAAAUUUAUGUCAGAGUCGUCAAACAAUUGUGAAUUAAAAAAGUCCAUCGAACAUUCUUUCAACUUCGAAGACGAUAUAUAUCUUGCAAACGUGGACGUCGAGAAAUACGAAAAACGAGAACAGCAAGCUUUGGAAAGGAGUCAAUCAAGUAGCGUGUUAACUUUGACAGAAUUUCGAAAAAGUAAUGCACGAAGAUGCACUAAUAAAAAUAAUAACAAGAAUAUCAAAACUAGCGGCAUAGCUGACGAUAUCACGUCUGGAAAUUUAGACCGUAAUAGAACGUCUUUGACUCAAAAUUUUGCAGCUAUUAGGACAUUUAAGAAAAAAUCUUUAUCAGAAGGACAGAUUAGUAGCAACAUAUUACGUAAUCAGGAGACAACUUUUAAAGAUAUAUCUUCGCAAUUGCAAUGCAGUUAUAGUCAAAAGAUUGGAGAUGCAAAAAUUGAGCCUAAAAUAUUCGACAAAGAUGUUACGCCUUCGCCUCAUUACAAUAGUAUGAGUUCUCCUGAAUUGCACAAAGAAAUGAAAAAAUACGGAUUAAAGAUACAAAAGCGUAGCAGAGCUGUAAAAUUGUUAUCGCACAUUUAUAACGAGCUUCAUCCCUUGAUACCUACAACUGAGGUGAUUCCAGAAGAAAAAGUCACUGAAAUAUCAAGCGAUGAAGAUGAUGGCCCACCAAAAAAAAAGCGGAAUGUAGAAGAUAAUUAUGUAGAAAAACCCGACAACGUCGAGGAAAAUGAUGAUGAACUGCUUUGUUCUCAGGAUAGCAAUAAGAGUAUAAAUUCUUUAAAAGAUAGAGUCAGCAAAGAAAUGGAAUUUUAUGAAACCGAAUCGUAUCCGCCGUUAGAAAAUUCAUCAGAUAUUACAAAAGCCUUUACGAAACUGAUAAAUCUUGACAAAGCUUUGUAUAACAAGAUAUUACAAUACGAACCUAUAAAUAUCGAAGAGUUACGUUCCACGUUACGGACACAUGGAUUCAAAUGCAAGCUUCCCAAUCUCAUGAGUUUUUUGGAUGAACAGUGUAUUACAUUUUAUGUACCAGAACAGAGCAGUAGGAGCAGAAUCCGCAAGAAAACAUAAUUCUGUACACAUGAAGUACUUUCAAGGAACUCAAAUAAAAUUUUUAUAUCGUUUUCCGUAAGAUACACACUAUAUAAAAUAUGAGUAGUAAAGAAUCCGUUCAGUUCAAGAAAAGCUAGAACUAUCGAUACUUCUUGCUUUUUUUGUUAAAAUAUUAAAAUUCCUACUUUUUAUUUA